UGGCGAACGGGGUAGUAACAGGUAGAAUGUACCAGAGAGUCGCGAAUAACUUCUCGAAAGAGAUGAGAAUACGCGAUACGUCUUCGGAUGAAAGAUCAUCGCUCUCUGAUCAGCCUGCCUCAUAUCAGCUAGUUGGUACGGUAAUGGCGUACCAAGGCUAUGACGUGUAGGGGAGGUGAGAGCCUGACCCCCACCAAAGGCACUGAGACACUGGCCUUACACCUACGGGUGGCUGCAGUCGAGAAUCUUCCGCAAUGCACGAAAGUGUGACGGAGCGACGCCGCGUGAUGGAUUGAAGGCCUUCGGGUUGUAGACAUCUUUUAUAGAGGAGGAAGUUUAUUGACGUUACUCUAUGAAUAAGGGGCUCCUAACCACGUGCCAGCAGGAGCGGUAAUACGUGGGCCCCAAGCGUUAUCCGGAAUCACUGGGCGUAAAGGGUGCGUAGGUGGAAAUAUUAGUCAGAGGUUAAAGACCCGGGCUCAACCUGGGGAAGGCCUUUGAAACGGUAUUUCUUGAAUGUGUAAGAGGUGAGUGGAACUCUCGGUGUAGGGGUGAAAUCCGUUGAUAUCGAGGGGAACACCAAAAGCGAAGGCAGCUCACUGGUACACUAUUGACACUGAGGCACGAAACCCUGGGUAGCGAAUGGGAUUAGAUACCCCAGUAGUCCAGGGCCUAAACGAUGCAGACUAGCUUUACGGAGUAUCGACCCUCUGUGAGGCGCAGCUAACGCGUUAAGUCUGCCGCCUGGGAAGUACGAGCGCAAGCUUAAAACUCAAAGGAAUAGACGGGGACUCGCACAAGCGGUGGAUCAUGUGGUUUAAUUCGAUGAUAAGCGAAGAACCUUACCAAGACUAGAAAUCUAUGGGAAGACUUUUAGAAAUAAUUGUCGUCUUCGGACUCAUAGACAGGUGAUGCAUGGCCGUCGUCAGCUCGUGGCUUGAGCUGUUCGGUUAAGUCCGGUAACGAGCGCAACCCUCAUCGUAUGUUUUAUAUGUCAUACGAGACUGCCC
rnacentral:rRNA from 1 species